CUAAAGCAGGGGAAGCCAUCCCCACUCUUCAGGGGAUUAAAAUUCUCACUCUACGAUAAGUGAGCUAUAAGCAAAAUACUGCAUACUGCAGAGAGUUCCAAAAAAGUCCAUCAGUCAACAUCACUCAUCAUUGGUAUUCACGAGAAAAUUAUUAAGAUUAAUUCAAACUACUAAUAAGUAUUAAAAAUGGUUAUAGCACAACUGGUUUGUUAAAAUUUACUGCAAUACUUGAGUAUUUUUCAUAUUUAUUUGAGCUUUUAAGGUCUAGAAAGAGAUACCAUGUACGUUAGAUAGAAUCACCAAAAAACUAACUUAAAAUAAUUAAUUUCAUUCAAUAAUUCUUGUUUUUUCUUUAUAUUUCUUCUUUGAAAUAUUUACUUGUUUUAAAAGACAUGUGCUUAAAAUUCGCACAGCUUCGUUAAGGAAAAUAGCUUUUCUUAAUGAAGUUUUUAAGCAAAAAUGAACUUCAGACACUGUUUAAGAUUAAAUGCGUUGUUAAAUAUUAAUUUUUAAAUUUUUGUGCCCUGAGAAUACAGUAGGACCUGUGCAUAUCAACAAUCAUCGCUUAGGUGCAAAAAGGUUUUUUAACUUGAAAAUUUUAAAAACAAACAUGUAGUGGUUUCUACAUUUACACUGCUUCAAUAAACACUCUUAAAGAAUUGAUGAAAAGAUCUGAACAGUUAAAGGAAAACAAACUCUAAAAACUGCCGUGCACUGGUGUGGCGCAUGGGCAAAUGCAGGUCAUGUUGGAAUGUUGCUCUUUAAAGAUUGUCCACCUUCGUGGAUAAAACAGGAAAUUAUGGUAAAUUUCUAUUCUGUUUGAAAUUUGAGUAUCCUUGAUUUUAUUAAUCUCACUAUAAACUUUAUUACUUGUUUAUUACUUUUAAAAUACUUUUUUUGUAGGAUGCUAAUCUAUGCACAAUCAGGGUAAAACACCUUUUCAUUGGGCAGCUACAAAUCCUACAUCUAGUGCAUUGGAUUGUGUUGAAAUUCUCUUGGUUUCAAAGGAAACAUACAACACAGAUGUAUUAGAUAAUGUAUUUAGCACACCUCUACAUUGAGCUGCUAGGAAAGAGUUACGACAAUUACCUACCAUAUACAUAGUUGCCAACUCUACUAGAUUUUCCAGGAGAUUACUCGAUUUUGCAAGUCUCCCCUGGUCUACUGGUUUAAUAAAAAUUCUAAUAGUUUUUAUACAUUUUAGAAAAUUCCUAAAAUUGAAAAGUUGUGGAAACGUUUUUAUCGAGAUCUUUCAUUUGUGACAUUGCUGAUGUCAGUGGAAGGAAUGCAAUUUUAUGGGCUGCUGCAAACAAUGCUAAUGACGUCAUUGAAAUUAUGGCAAAGAAUGGAGUUGUACUGGACUGUUCUGACAAAACUGGUUUGACAGGUGUGCCUUAGGAGGACAUGCAUAUUUAUUUCAAAUGUUACUCCACAAAGAAAUGCCUGCAAACAUUCAGAAUGCUUUUGGGGUAAAUUACCUCUGCAUUGGGCAGUAUUGGCUAAUCAUUGGGAAAUUGUAAAGUUGCUGUGUGAUUAUGAGACAGAUGUAAAUACAAUGAUUAAGAAAAAUGAUUGGUAAAAUAAUUUAUUUUCUUGUUUUAUUUCCCUUGAUUUUAAUUUACUAUUUGGUUUUAAGGAUUUUCUUAAAAUUAGACUAUUUUGUUUUUGUUUGUUUGUGAUUUUGUUUGCCUUUUCAAAGCAGGCAAAUCCUUAAAAUGAAAAAAAAGUGGGAAAUCCAGUUAACAAAUAUCAAUUUCCAACUAUAAAAAAUUUCAAAUUUUUAGUUGUUUUUCUACUUUGGAUGUUGCAAAAUCACCAUGCUUUUAAAAACUUUCUAUCAUGCACUUUUCAAAAUUUAUAAAAAAAAAACUAAUUUUAAUUAACUUUAAAUCCAGAGAUAGAUUAUUGCCAGAAGCUGCAAAUUUUUUUUUAUUGUAGCUUAUUGGUUGGGGGCAGGGAAUCAUUCAUAAAUUAAUUUUUGUUCAGUUAUACAUUGUAUCAACUAAACUGAGGUUUCCAUGUUCAGUUUUGGCAUCUAAGUUUUUAAUAUUUAUAUUAACAGUUUUAUAUUUGUGAUUGUAAUUUAAUCUUAUUAAAUUAAAACUUUAUAUUACUAGCAUU
rnacentral:lncRNA from 1 species